GCUGUGAGCUAGACGUUCUGGAGACUUCUAGAGAAAGGAAUGUGGAGCUCUUUCUGCCAAAUUUAUACAAUCAAUCAUUGAUUUUUGGCUUAGCUGGUACAGCUGCCUGAGCUGUGCUAUCAAGGACAUAAUCCUAUCUGCAGAUGAAGAUCACAUUGUACUUUGCUAUUUGAGAAAUUCUUUGUUGGAUUCUGAUCUGCUUUUCGAGGAGACUGUUUCAAGGAUCUGGGUUCCUCCUGGUGUUCCAGUUUCCCAAAGAACAUGUUUAUUGAGGCUGUGAGAAGAACAUCCUUUCCCUUGAUUUCCGAUGUAGAAAUACGGCUAAAGCAGGUGCAAUUAUCUUGGUUCUUCAAGUCUGUGUGUGUUCCUGCGGACACUCAGGAGCUUCUGUUGCUGUUGGCGCCAUGUGCCAGAUGUCCUGUGUCACACUGAGAUGCCAUCUGUGCAGAGAUGGGAAAUCAUCAUCAGAUAUGAAAAGCCACAUGGGUUGUCACUCCUAAAUCAAAUA